UACUGGAACCGUGUGGAAACAUUCCCUGAGUUCUUAACUAAGCUUGGAUGUCAAAAUUCAAGCCCGGAAAGGCACUAUUGCUGGAGUUUAUAUGUCCAAGAAUUAGGCAGCUAUCUAGAAAUAUACAUCGGGAUAAUUGUGACGUGCAUGGUUUGUCAGAUUUGUUCAAUAGUUGCAGCUGAAUAUAUCUUCCGUAAACUUGAAUUCAAAGAAAAGAAACCAAGCAUUUCGGAGAACAAGUAUUACUUAUUGUUAAGUUUAAAGCAUGGUAUGUUACGGAGUUUGAUCAUCUUCAUAAAGGAUAAUUGGAGCAGGUCAAAAGUUGGUUUUGCAUCGGUCAUACUUAAAAUAAGCUCGCUUGUAA